rnacentral:tRNA from 1 species
GGGGAUGUAGCUCAGCUGGGAGAGCACCGCCUUUGCACGGCGGGGGUCGUGGGUUCGAGUCCCAUCAUCUCCACCA